GCCAACAUGAGAAAUUUGCUCUUUAUGAUAGCGCCCAGGCCUGUUGUUAGGCCUAAGCAGCGGUACUCUCCUGGACAAUUAAGCCCGAGCAGGGCGCUGUAUCCGGCGGCCACAGUUACAACACCCACCCUGGGGAUGUCCAUCAGAGCAAUGCCGACAAAAGAGGUUAUGCAAGCUCCAACACAUCGCUUCGAGCUCUAAACCAAACAAAAAGCAUCAACUCGGUGUAGUUUUCCCUCUUAGAACUAAAGUUCACCAAAGCGAGCUUUACAAUUCGCGGUACAUUUUAAAUUCAGCCUAUCAACCACUGCCUAGCCGACCGAGCUAAUAAGCUAAUGCUUAAAACCGUGUUUUCUUGACGAAAAGUUAUGUAUUAGCACGUUAGCUGAAUACAGCACAGCAAGCUAGCUAGGCUCUGCCAAUGAGUGCGGCGUGUUAGCUGUUUUGCUAACACAAUGUCGUGGGAGAAUAUGUAAAAUAUCAAAAGAAGAAGACCCAGAGAAGCUAGCAGGCAUUUCAGCCGUGAGUGCUACAACAACCGG